rnacentral:rRNA from 1 species
GAGGGAAAGGCGAAAAGAACCCCGGCGAGGGGAGUGAAAAAGAACCUGAAACCGUGUACGUACAAGCAGUAGGAGCCUCUUUAUGGGGUGACUGCGUACCUUUUGUAUAAUGGGUCAGCGACUUAUAUUCUGUAGCAAGGUUAACCGUAUAGGGGAGCCGUAGGGAAACCGAGUCUUAACUGGGCGAAUGAGUUGCAGGGUAUAGACCCGAAACCCGGUGAUCUAUCCAUGGGCAGGUUGAAGGUUGGGUAACACUAACUGGAGGACCGAACCGACUAAUGUUGAAAAAUUAGCGGAUGACUUGUGGAUGGGGGUGAAAGGCCAAUCAAACCGGGAGAUAGCUGGUUCUCCCCGAAAGCUAUUUAGGUAGCGCCUCGUGAAUUCAUCUUCGGGGGUAGAGCACUGUUUCGACUAGGGGGUCAUCCCGACUUACCAACUCGAUGCAAACUGCGAAUACCG